CAUUAAAAUUUAGCCUAGUUGUUAAUAGUGCACCAGUUUGUUGAAUCCGGGUUGUGACUUGUGCAGACCCGUUUCAGUAUCGAUCACUCACACCCUCCGUUUCCUCUUCCGACUCGCGCUACACUCACACCCUCCGUUUCCUCUUCCGACUCGCGCUACACUCACACCCUCCGUUUCCUCUUCCGACUCGCGCUACACUCACACCCUCCGUUUCCUCUUCCGAUUCGCGCUACACUCACACCCUCCGUUUCCUCUUCCGAUUCGCGCUAGGUUACGUUGAUUUCGAAUCCCACAAAGGGAUGGUAUGGGCUUGAAAUGAGGAUAUGCUCAUGAAGAUUUUGGUCAAGGCAUGGAAUUAAGACAUGGGUCAAGGAACAUGUUAUGGCACAUAAACAUUUUUUUUCUUUGAAAGACACCAAUGGUCAUAAAAAGCUUGAAGGUUUUGGAGGGAUGCCUUAGAAUAGGUUUUAGAUUUAGGUAGUUGACUAUGAUCACUGUUUGACCAAAAAGUAAAUAGUUGACCAAAAGUCAACUUUAGGUAAAAAUGUGUAAUUUCGCGUGUAAACUUGUAAUUUGGAUCUUUUUGUCCUGAAAUGGAAGUUUUUGGUAAUGAAAUGGCCUUUUGAAAUGAA